rnacentral:lncRNA from 1 species
AAAAGUCUCGUUCGUCACAACAGAAGGCGUUCGGAUACAGAAAAUUUGGUGUUGAUAUGGGAGUAGGAUUUUUUGGAGUGGUAACGUUCCCGAAUGCCCAUUUCUUAAGCUUCCACCUCUCUCAUCUCAGAUGAUAAAGGGUCUUUAAUUCUAGAUGAAAUAGGGGUUUGGGGGUGGAAUCAACAGUGGUGACGACUGUAGACUGGGCUAUAGGGAGGGGUAUGGUAAAGGUGGUUGUUGUUUCAGUUAGGUGGUCGUGUUGUUUUUGUAAAUUUACGUUGGUGGUUGGUAUCAUCGUGCUAGAUUGUGUGGUAUUUGGGAAGAAUGGUGUUAACAAGGCGUUCACUUGACAUGAUGAAGGAAAUAUUGUUGGUGAGUGCUACAGUUUGAUGAAAGAGGUGAAGCAAUAUUGGUAAGAGAUGACACUUUUACUCUUUGAGAAGUUUUGAAUGUGUGGAUGAG